UACGAAGGGUGCAAGCGUUACUCGGAAUUACUGGGCGUAAAGCGUGCGUAGGUGGUUCGUUAAGUCCGAUGUGAAAUCCCCGGGCUCAACCUGGGAAUGGCGGUGGAAACUGGCGAGCUAGAGUGUGUCAGAGGGGGGUGGAAUUCCACGUGUAGCAGUGAAAUGCGUAGAGAUGUGGAGGAACACCAAUGGCGAAGGCAGCCCCCUGGGAUAACACUGACGCUCAGGCACGAAAGCGUGGGGAGCAAACAGG
rnacentral:rRNA from 1 species